UGGGGAAUAUUGCACAAUGGGCGGAAGCCNGGAUGCAGCAACGCCGCGUGCGGGAUGACGGCCUUCGGGUUGUAAACCGCUUUCGCCUGUGACGAAGCGUGAGUGACGGUCNNUGGGUAAAGAAGCACCGGCUAACUACGUGCCAGCAGCCGCGGUGAUACGUAGGGUGCGAGCGUUGUCCGGAUUUAUUGGGCGUAAAGGGCUCGUAGGUGGUUGAUCACGUCGGAAGUGUAAUCUUGGGGCUUAAGCCUGAGCGUGCUUUCGAUACGGGUUGACUUGAGGAAGGUAGGGGAGAAUGGAAUUCCUGGUGGAGCGGUGGAAUGCGCAGAUAUCAGGAGGAACACCAGUGGCGAAGGCGGUUCUCUGGGCCUUUCCUGACGCUGAAGAGCGAAAGCGUGGGGAGCGAACAGGCUUANAUACCCUGGUAGUCCACGCUGUAAACGGUGGGUACUAGGUGUGGGGUCCAUUCCACGGGUUCCGUGCCGUAGCCUNACGCUUUAAGUACCCUCGCCUGGGAGUACCGGCCGCAAGGCUAA
rnacentral:rRNA from 1 species